GAACGCACAUUGCGCCCCUUGGUAUUCCGAGGGGCAUGCCCGUUCGAGCGUCAUUAUAACCCCUCAAGCCCCCGGGCUUGGUGUUGGGGAUCGGCGAGCCUCCGCGCCCGCCGUCCCCUAAAUCUAGUGGCGGUCUCGCUGUAGCUUCCUCUGCGUAGUAGCACACCUCGCACUGGGAAACAGCGCGGCCACGCCGUUAAACCCCCAACUUCUGAACGUUUGACCUCGGAUCAGGUAGGACUACCCGCUGAACUUAAG
rnacentral:misc_RNA from 1 species